UAACGCGGGGGGAACGUAACAUUUGCUACGGAAUAACUCACGGAAACUUGUGCUAAUACCGUAUGUGCCCUUCGGGGGAAAGAUUUAUCGGGAAUGAUCGGCCCGCGUUGGAUUAGCUAGUUGGUGGGGUAAAGGCCUACCAAGGCGACUAUCCAUAGCUGGUCUGAGAGGAUGAUCAGCCACACUGGGACUGAGACACGGCCCCCACUCCUACGGGAGGCAGCCGUGGGGAAUAUUGGACAAUGGGCGCAAGCCUGAUCCAGCCAUGCCGCGUGAGUGAUGAAGGCCCUAGGGUUGUAAAGCUCUUUCACCGGUGAAGAUGAUGACGGUAACCGGAGAAAAAGCCCCGGCUAACUUCGUGCCAACAUCCGCGGUAAUACAAAGGGGGCUAGCGUUGUUCCGAUUUACUGGGCGUAAAGCGCACGUAGGCGGGCUAAUAAGUCAGGGGUGAAAUCCCGGGGCUCAUCCCCAGAACUGCCUUUGAUACUGUUAGUCUUGAGUAUGGUAGAGGUGAGUGGAAUUCCGAGUGUACAGGUGAGAUUCGUAGAUAUUCAGAGGAACACUUGUGUCGAAGGCAGCUCACUGGACCACUACUGACGCUGAUGUGCUGAAAUCGUGAGGAGCAAACACGAUUAUAUACCCUGCUACUCUACGCUCUAAACGAUAAAUGUUAGCCGUUGGGGAGGUUACUCUUCGGUGACGCACACACUCAUUAAACAUUCCGCAUGGAGAGUACGGUCGCAAUAUUAAGACUCACACGAAUUGACGGGGGCCCGCACAAGCGGUGAGCAUGCGGUUUAAUUCGAGCGACGCGCAGAAUCUCUACCAGACCUUGGACGUCCCGAUCACAGUUAGUGAGACACUAUUCUUUCAUCUUCAGCUGGAUCAGAGACAUGUGCUGCAUUGCUGUCGUCAGCUCAGUGUCAUGAAAAUGUGUGUCUAGUCCCGCAACGAGCGCAACCCUGCUGCCAUUGAUUGCAUCAUCAGUUGGGUCAC
rnacentral:rRNA from 2 species